CAAUAGCGUAUAUUAAAGUUGUUGCAGUUAGAACGCUCGUAGUCGGAUUUCGGGUCGGGCCGACCGGUCUGCCGAUGGGUACGCACUGGUCGGCGCGUCCUUCCUCUCGGAGACUGUUCCUACUCUUAACUGAGCGGGAGCAGGAUACGGGACUUUUACUUUGAAAAAAUCAGAGUGUUUCAAGCAGGCAGCUCGCUCUUGCAUGGAUUAGCAUGGGAUAAUGAAAUAGGACUUUGGUGCUAUUUUGUUGGUUUCGAACACCGAAGUAAUGAUGAGAAGGGACAGUCAGGGGCACUCGUAUUCCGCCGAGAGAGGUGAAAUUCUCAGACCAGCGGAAGACGAACCACUGCGAAANCANNNGCCAGGGAUGUUUUCACNGA
rnacentral:rRNA from 1 species